rnacentral:rRNA from 1 species
ACUCAAAGGAAUUGACGGGGGCUCACACAAGCGGUGGAGCAUGUGGCUCAAUUCGAAGCAACGCGAAGAACCUUAUCCUGGGCUUGACAUGCACGGAUUAGUUCGCUGAAAGGCGAAUGACACUCUCGUAGUGGAACGUGCACAGGUGCUGCAUGGCUGUCGUCAGCUCGUGCUGUGAAGUGUCGGGUUAAGUCCCUUAACGAGCGCAACCCCUAUCGCUAGUUGCCACCAGGUAAAGCUGAGCACUCUAGCGAGACUGCCGGUGUUAAACCGGAGGAAGGUGGGGAUGACGUCAAGUCCUCAUGGCCUUUAUGCCCAGGGCUGCACACGUGCUACAAUGGCGCGAACAGAACGAUGCAAGACCGCAAGGUGGAGCAAAUCGCUCAAAUCGCGCCCCAGUUCGGAUUGAGGGCUGCAAUUCGCCCUCAUGAAGUCGGAAUCGCUAGUAAUCGCGGAUCAGCUACGCCGCGGUGAAUAUGUUCCUGAGCCUUGUACACACCGCCCGU